rnacentral:rRNA from 1 species
GUCGUAACAAGGUUUCCGUAGGUGAACCUGCGGAAGGAUCAUUACCUAGAGUUUGUAGACUUCGGUCUGCUACCUCUUACCCAUGUCUUUUGAGUACCUUCGUUUCCUCGGCGGGUCCGCCCGCCGAUUGGACAACAUUCAAACCCUUUGCAGUUGCAAUCAGCGUCUGAAAAAACAUAAUAGUUACAACUUUCAACAACGGAUCUCUUGGUUCUGGCAUCGAUGAAGAACGCAGCGAAAUGCGAUAAGUAGUGUGAAUUGCAGAAUUCAGUGAAUCAUCGAAUCUUUGAACGCACAUCGCGCCCCUUGGUAUUCCAUGGGGCAUGCCUGUUCGAGCGUCAUUUGUACCUUCAAGCUCUGCUUGGUGUUGGGUGUUUUGUCUCGCCUCUGCGUGUAGACUCGCCUUAAAACAAUUGGCAGCCGGCGUAUUGAUUUCGGAGCGCAGUACAUCUCGCGCUUUGCACUCAUAACGGCGACGUCCAAAAGUACAUUUUUACACUCUUGACCUCGGAUCAGGUAGGGAUACCCGCUGAACUUAAGCAUAUCA